rnacentral:lncRNA from 10 species
CGCACUAUUCUAAAGAAAUACUUGAAACUGGGUAAUUUAUAAAGAAAAGAGAUUUAAUUGGCUCAUGGUUCUGCAGGCUGUACAGGAAGCAUAGCAGCUUCUGCUUCUGGGGAGGCCCCAGGAAACUUACAAUCAUGGUGGAAAGUGAAGGGGGAGCAAGCAGUUCACAUGGGGGGAGCAGGAGGAGGAUAGAGAUGGGGGAGGUGCUACACAAUCUUAAACAACCAGAUCUCAUGAGAACUCACUCACUUCCAUAAGAACAGCACCAAGGAGAUGUUGCUAAACUAUUUAUGAAAGACCACCCCCAUGAUCCAAUCACCUCCCACCAGGCCUCGCCUCCAACACUGGGGAUUACAAUUUGACAUGAGAUUUGGGCGGAGACAAAGAUCCAAACCAUAAGAAGGGGUGAGUCUUAGGUUUGGGGUCAAUUACUGUAUUGUUAGUAUUCUUUCAUUUUUUAUAUCUAUUAUUCAUGUUACCAUGUAUUAGUAGCCAGUGGUACUAAUUUUCCUGUUAGUCAUUUAACCAGAGUAGGAUACCCGUUUUGUGCUAGGCUCAGUUCAAGGUACUAGGGAUUCAGUGCUUAACAAACACAGCUCUUCCUUUCAUGGAAUGUAUGAUAAAGUGAUAAAACAUUUUCUUUUAAAUUACAUUUAAGUUUUUAAAAGUAAGCUGUUAAUUAAAGCAAAAUAAUUAAGCAAGUGCUAUUACAACAGGUAGUUCACAAAUAUGACAAAAAUAAUAAAAGUGGCAUUUAUAUAAUUAAAAUUGAAGAACUGUAGGUAAGUUAUAGAAUCAACAUUAAUUUCUUUCCUUUCUUCUUUAGCUAUAAGGACAUUUAUUCUGUGCCCCCUGAUUUUCCAGGCAUUGCUUCUGAUACCAAAGACAGCCAGAAGAAAGAUAUAUUUGCUAUUCUGAAAGCGCUCACAAAUAGAGGGGAAAAGGUCAACAUUCACCGUCCAGCAUGAACACCCCGGAGACCACAGAGGGGAUGUGGGCAGGUGUGGGGGAUACGGGGGCAGAGCAGGAUGCUCCAGGCAUGGGAAGUGGCAUGGGGAAGCCACACUAAGGCACACCAUCGAGAGCCAUGAAUGCCAUUCCAAGGACAUUGAAUCUUUUCCUAAAGGUAUCAGGACACCACUGUGGGAUUGUACAAAGAGGAAUAGCAUGACCAGUGUGCUCUUAGGAACAUGACUCUGGCUGCUUCUUUUUGAAAUUUUCAUUUUCAUAAGACUAAAUUGAUCAAAGUGUGCUGAAAUUGCUGGGAACAAAAACAAGAACAAAAUCUCUUUUCCCCACCCUCUCAUUACUCUCCAAUAGAGUGAAGUUUUCUAUCUUCCUUUAUCUCCCACUUUUAAAUAUUUUAAAUAUUUCCCACUUUUAAAGAGUUUGCCCAGAAACAUUUUCCAAAAUUAAUGAGAAUACUGAAAAAUCAUAGUUGCUUGGGUGCAACUUCAGGUUAGAUUAGAGCUAUGUUCAUCCUUUGUUUGUUUGUUUGUUUGUUUGUUUGUUUGAGGCAAGUUCUUUCUCUGUCACCCAGGCUGGAGUGCAGGGGUGUGAUCAUAGCUCACUGCAGCCUCAAACUCCUGGGCUCAAAUGAUCCUCCCACCUCAGCCUCUUGAGUAGCUGAGACUCCAGGCACACUCUACUAUACCCGGCUAAUUUUUACAAUUUUUUUGUAGAGAUGAGAUCUCGCUAUGGUGCCCAGGCUGGUCUCAAAGUCCUUGCCUCGAGCAAUCCUCCCACCUCACCCUUCCAAAAUGCUGGGAUCACAGACAUGAGCCACUGCACCCAGGCAAUUUUUUUAAAGAGAGAGAUGAGGUCUCUCUAUAUUGCCCAGGCUAUAUAUAGCCCAGUAGCUAUUCACAGGCGUGAUUAUCACACACUGCAGUGUCAAACUCCUGGGCCCAGUAGAUCCUCCCAUAGGUGGGACUCCAGGCAGACGCCACCGCACCUGGCUCUCCUCACUCUUUGCAAAGACAACUCCUAAUCUUGAUCUCUUUGGACUGUUGGGACAAGCCUCUGAUGGCUGAGGCAGGUUUCACUAUUCUCACUCAUUCUCUGAAUGGGGAAACAGAAUGCCCCAAGGGGGUGAAGCCAGGGCUCAACCCAAUAGACUCUCAUUUUGGUUGUUCCGCCACAGCACAGGGCCAGGAAAGAUAAAGGAAUGAUUUGCCUUCUGGCUUUCUGGGCUUCGCAGGGUCUUUGUUCACAGUAGGUCUUCCACACCAUCACAUGACAGGGAUCUUGGGCACAUCCUCUAUUUGUCUCCCUUAAUGACUGUACUGCAUCCUUCCACUCUAUGUCCACAUUGAAUAUCACAUUUUAAAAAGGCGACUUUUAUUUCACUUUUAUACUCAAAUGAUUUUUGACAGUGAUUUUUUUUUUCCUUACCCUUUCCAGGAGGGUUCGGCAAUCAUGGCAAAACUUGCUUCUAAUAGACCCGCUUUGGUCGGGGAGUACUUUUCUUUAAGCAUCUUUAUGUUUUAUUACCGACCUGGCAUUGUAGGGUAGAUGCUCUUUGCUAAAUUUUUUCAUCUUCAUUUCCCCUCCUCUGAGAAGCAGAUUAUUACUCUACUAAAUGCCUUGAGCAAAACUUAAUUCAUUCUACUGAUUCACAUCGGUAGAACAAGCACUGAUGGGAAGGGCUGUUUGAAAUGAAAUCAGAACUAAAGCUUACACAGUUUAAAAAAAAAAGAAAGAAGAAAGAGAAAGGAAAAGAAAUGGGCUGACAUCCGCCUCUCGGUGUGAAGGGAUUAAGAUGGUUUUAAUUAUCUCACCUGGCUCUUGUUAUUGCACUUAUUCUUGCUUCCUCCAUCUAGCUAAUAUGACAGCGUAAGAUCUGGUGCUCUCAUCUGGAUUUCCCCUCUUUAGGAAAGUCGAAGAGCCCCCAGGUUAAAGAGUAACAAUCACAGUUCAAAAUGCUCAGAAAUGUGUGACGGCAAGAGCAGAGGCUUCAGUGACUAUGCUCGGUCAUGUGCAAAUGCUGAUAAUAACUGGAGACUCAGGGCUGAAUAUGUUACACUUUUAUGAAUAAAGUAAAUGGGUUUCCAAUGUGAUCUGGAGGUGAAAAGAAGACGUGGUUAUUGAAGGUAUUGGUGAAAUAUCACGGAAUGCAAUCUCAGACGCGUCUUCCAGUGGGGGCCAGCUGCGUAAACACAAGAGUGAGGUGUUUGAGGGCAUGGCUGUUUCUUUCAUUCCACUAAAAUACAUGCAUGCACCAACACACAAAAAAAUCACUCCUACUUCUUGGCCUUUGUUCUAAGAAGAUGACUGGCAUCAGUUUCACAUUUGCUGUUUUUCUUCUCUCAAGAACUCUGUGUGACCUGAUUGAGAGCAGGGAAAGGAGUGUUCAAUAGGUCUUUUUUUUUUCUUCAGUUGCUGAAUACCUGAAAAUUCUCCUGUGAUAAAGACCCAGCCAGCAUCCUCGAGUGUGGACCACGUUAAGGGAAAGCUUGAAGGAAAAGAGAGUGAGUCAUAUAUUGCAAAGCAGAGCCAAUCCAGAGAACUAGAAAUUAUUAUUCUGAUCCCAGGAGGCAGAGGAGUAAAGUAAGACCAGGGAAAUGGAGACACUUGCAUCUGCUUUGGAGCUGGGGUUGGUGGGCAAAGAGAGGAGCGCUUCCGGCCAUUAGGGAUAAGUCUGCUCAGCAGGAACCAAGCAGACUGCCUGGUGGGAGAAGGCCAGGGUGGACGGGCCUGCUGUCCUGCUCUCAGUCACUUCUGCUGGAUGAGAGCUUCUGAGCUGCCGCUUUUGUUCAGGAUCAAUAAGCACAGUGAGAAAAGGUGAUGAGUGAAAGGUGGAAGGGGCAUCAGCUUCCCAUAGGAGUGAACUAGGGAAGCAGUGAUGGGCACUGCAUCCCUAUCUCAGCCCCAGAUAUCCAAGAACAGCCUUCUGGAUGUUCUUCUUGAGGUGACUUUCCUGAGAGGUAAGCCUCGUGACUUGUGGCUGGGACAGGUCUCAAAAACCUGAGAAUGCAGAGCUUCUUGGUGGACUGGUCAAGUGACUGGGGGUGGAAAAUAGGAUCUCCCGCCUCGAGCCGUCACAGGGCUCUCCACACUGUCAGGGAGCACCCAGAGGGAUACAGAGAAUCUUCCUCCCUUUGGAAACAUCAAAGGGAAAUCCAAGAAAUUACUUCCAUCUGAUCCUUAUAACUGCAUGCCCCACUGACCAGAAUAAGCAUGGGACAAACACAUUAGUACCCACAUAAAAUUGCUUUUGGAAAAGUCAGAUAUGAUCUACUGAGCCGAAUGAUCAUUACAAGCUGUAAUCAGCAUACCAAAUUUCACAGUAAACGGGACAUUGGCUAUCCUGAAAGAAAAAAAAAAUUCUACUCUGCAAAAAUGCUGCCCCAGAAUUGACCGAGACAAUUCUCCAUCUCUUUCUGUGUAGCCUCCAGGACAGUUUGAUUUUGUUUUUGGAGGCAUUGUUCAUCUUCGUGGUCCUGCUAGUCAGGCUGAGCCAAAUGAACUGAUUUAUGGAAUCUUGGCAGUAGCCUUGGCUUCCAGCUAAAGCCGGGGAUCUGCAGAUUUGGCUGGCUGCUGAGGGGCAGUCUGGGUAUAUCUCUGUUAUCAGGGUUUACACAGAUAAGCAAUGUAAAUCAAUAAAAUGAAAGUAACGUGCCGGGCAUGGUGGGUAAUGCCUGUAAUCCCAGCACUUUGGGAGGCUGAGGCGGGUGGAUCACUUGAGGAAAGGAGUUCGAGACCAGCCUGGCCAACAUGGUGAAACCCCACCUCUACCAAAAAUGCAAAAUUCAGCCAGGUGAGGUGGUGCAUACCUGUAAUCCCAGCUACUUGGGAGUGCUGAGGCAGGAGAAUUGUUUGAACCUAGGAGGCAGAGGUUGCAGUGAGCCAAGAUCAUAUCUCUUG